UUUAUACUUAAAUUUCUUUCUAAUUUCUUCUAGUAUUUCUUUAAAAAAUGUGUUCUGUUUUUUAGUAGGAAGUGCUAAUAUGUGUGCUGCUGUGAAUCAGGCAGAUAUGAAAGAAACAGGUGAAGCUGCAGCUGAGAUCAGUGAAGCAACGUGCAUGCAGGUCACAAAGGAAAAGAAGGCAAACAGGAAUAAUGUGAGUCAUGUAUCAGUGUAUGGAACUGAUGGAGCUAAGGUUAUAUGACAGAUGGCUGAAAAACUGUAAUUUGUGUUGGUCUGUUUUUUUUGUUUUUUUUUUUGUUUGUUUUUUUUCUUAUGAGCAGUAUAAUAUUCAGCUUUUAAAUCUAUAAGCAGGUGUAGGGACUGGGGACUGUUAUGUACAAAGUGGUGGAGGGAGAUGAUACCAGUUCAGUACAGCAUCACUGAAAAUAAAUGUUUGGCCUUGAUCCUGAUCCUUAGCCUCAGCAAAGUCCUCUUAAAUUAAAGCCAUGCUUAUUGACUGUUUUUUUAAGCACUGAAAUGUCAUUUAGUAUAGCAUGCAUUACAAUGUAAAACGUGGUGUGUUUUGCAGCUAAUUGUUUAAAAAGUAGUUACUAUAUAGUUCUAAAUUACUUAUUUGGAAAUUAGUCUGUAUGUUUUUUUUUUUUUUUUACAUAAUCAUUUCUUUGCUAUCUGUCAUUUGAAAUGUUCCUUUUUAAUGUAUUCAUUAAUUAAAAUCUUUUAACCAUU